GUCUAUGGCCAUACCACCCUGAAAGCUCCCUAUCCCGUCUGAUCUUGGAAGCUAAGCAGGGUGAGACUUGGUUAGUACUUGUAUGGGAGACCGCCUGGGAAAACCGGGUGCUGUAGGCU